UGCUGCCGGCCGCGAGCGCAAGCAAAAGGUGGACUCUCUCCGUCAGGGAGCAUCCCUCUCCGGGGUGGAGGCCCAAGGGCAGAGCCUAGCAUCCCACCCAGGUCCCACCUGAGACCCCUGAGCAGGGUGGAGAAGAGAGAAACCACCACAGACAGCGAGCGGAGGACGCGAGGGAAGAUGCCUAAGGAGCUUGAGGAGACGCCCGCUGUGCCCCCGAUCACUGGAGAGCUUUGGUCAUGAGAGCAUAAAAAGAUCUGGCAAGUACUUCUGGAGGGUGAAGCUGCAGCGGCACUGCCAGUUCUGCCUUCAGAGAACUUUCUUUGGCUGUUCUUUUAAGGAGUGCAGAGACAGAAGGGGAAACCAGUCAGAAGGUUCAUGAAGUAAUCCAGGAGGAAUGAUUUUGGUGCUGCCUACCCGAGGUUGAGAGCUCAGAUCCAUAAGCCUUCUGGCAACGAGUCUCAAACUUUUGUCAGAGUUACCUGGAGAGCCUGUUACUAUCCUGGGAUCUUCUCCAGAUACAGUGAUUCAGCAGGCUUGGUGAAGGAGUCAGGAAUCUGCAUUUUUAACAGCUAAUUGUUGAGGACAGUGGUCCCCAACUUGUAUUCAUGGCACAGAAAGAAAAGGAAAAUCAUUAUACGGUGCACAGUUAUAUCACUGCCACAGGGUUAUGUGACCCGCUACCGCCCGCUGCAGAUGGGCUUAAAGAACUGUCAAGAUUUUAUCUUGGCCUGCCACACAUCCAAUUUGCUUAUGUAUGGUGCACAGUUACAAUGGAGAGACUAUGUAACAAUUGCCAGAGUCAAGGAGGCCCUGAGCUCCACCACUGGAAGGGCACAUUAGCACAUCUGGAACCAAUUUGUGGCAUACCACUUGAGAAGGUCUGUUUCAGAACAGCUCUGCUACUUAUGUUCCUCUGAUAAAAUGCCCUUCUCCACUGACAACGUUGCUAGGGUUCUAGAAAACAGAUGCUGGUAAUGAUGUAGAGAAGCCCAACUACGACUAAACAGAAUAAGCAUCAGGAAACCAUCCUCCUGCCCUUUUGUCCUGGACCUUGGCAAGAUAAGGAGUGGAUACUAAACUUCAAGAAAACAACCCAACACUUGUUGUGUUAUUGGAACAUAUGAAAUCUUUGUGAAAGAUAUCCUCUCUCAGCCAAGUUAGUUUAAGGAAACUGAGUGACUCUCAUGAUGUGGAAGUAUCUGGUCAUUAAGAUCUAAGUGACUACAAGCCAAGGGUCUGUGUCUCUUCAAAGGAGACAAAGAGUUGCAGGAGCCAAAGGCCCUGGCAUUAGUUACAUUAUGGCUCUAACUUUUUCUCUUAAAUUUUUUUUAACUUUUAGAGAAUGAUCCACUUUCCCUGCUCAUAUUUAAAGUCACCUUAAAAGUUAAAAAAAAAAAAAAAGCCACCUUUAUCCUACACUGAAUUCUUAUAUACCAAAGUGCCCUCAUAAUUCAAGUAUUUAUUGGCCAUGUAAUCUGUUUUUGGUGUUGAAUCAUAACAUAAUAAAAUACUCUUAGAAAAAGUCUGGGCCUCCUCUAAUAUCUUUCUCUGCUUCACAGUAUCAUCUACAUUUACGCCUGUGUUUCCCAAUGUCUUGUAGGCUGUGCAAUGAAAAACCAUUACAAAGUUGAACUAGCAAAUCUCACAAAAUACGUAGGGCUUUCAUGAGGUUGAUAAACGUGAUGGAAAACUAUUUAAAUCGUGAACAUUGCUAUAGAACAUGUCAGUCCAGUUAGCUAGCUAUUGAAGGGCAGAAGCUAAGGCCAAAAGGGCAAUGACACAAGAAGUUUUAUUAAAGAAUGAUCUAAUUAGACAGAAACCCUUACAAAAAUGAAGUCUAGGAUAUUUUUGUAAAAUGAAUCAAUUGAAA